rnacentral:rRNA from 1 species
AACGAACGCUGGCGGCGUGCUUAACACAUGCAAGUCGGGCGAGAACCAGGCCUUCGGGUCUGGGGAAAGCGGCGAACGGGUGAGUAACACGUGAGUAACCUGCCCUCGGCACCGGGAUAGCCCGGGGAAACCCGGAUUAAUACCGGAUGGCCAUUCGAGCUCUCGGGCGCGAAUGAAAAGGUAGCUUCGGCCUCUGGCCGAGGAUGGGCUCGCGGCGGAUUAGCUUGUUGGUGGGGUAAUGGCCCACCAAGGCGACGAUCCGUAGCUGGUCUGAGAGGACGAUCAGCCACACUGGGACUGAGACACGGCCCAGACUCCUACGGGAGGCAGCAGUGGGGAAUCUUGCGCAAUGGGCGAAAGCCUGACGCAGCGACGCCGCGUGCGGGAAGAAGGCCUUCGGGUUGUAAACCGCUUUCAGGAGGGACGAAGCCCCUCGGGUGAAUAGCCCAGAGGGUGACGGUACCUCCAGAAGAAGCCCCGGCUAACUACGUGCCAGCCGCCGCUGUAA